rnacentral:rRNA from 1 species
GAUGAACGCUGGCGGCGUGCCUAAUACAUGCAAGUCGAGCGGACAGACGAGGAUCUUGCUCCUCUGAUGGUGGCGGCGGACGGGUGAGUAACACGUGGAUAACCUACCUUUAGGACUGGGCUAACUUCGGGAAACCGGAGCUAGUACCGGAUACUAUAUUGAACCGCAUGGUUCAAAAGUGAAAGACGGUUUUGCUGUCACUUAUGGAUGGAUCCGCGCCGCAUUAGCUGGUUGGUAAGGUAACGGCUUACCAUGGCGACGAUGCGUAGCCGACCUGAGAGGGUGAUGGGGCACACUGAGACUGAGACACGGUCCAGACUCCUACGGGUGGCAGAGGUAGGGAAGCUUCCGAAAUGGGCGAAAGCCUGAACGAGCAGCGGCGCCUGAGUGAUGAAGGUCUUCGGAUCGUAAAACUCUGUUACUAUCGAAGAACAAAUGUGUAAGUAGCUAUGCACGUGUUGACGGUACCUGAUCAGAAAGCCACGGCUAACUACGUG